GUACUCUGAUUGGUGACGGGUGAGGUGGGCCCGGCUGCGGCCCGAAAUCUUAGGACUUCCGAAAGCAGCGGCGGCGUUUGCUUCACUACUUGGAAGUGUGAAUGCGCGAAGAUGCGAAAGGUGGUUUUGAUCACCGGCGCGAGCAGUGGCAUUGGCCUGGCCCUCUGCAAGCGGCUGCUGGCGGAAGAUGAUGAGCUGCAUCUGUGUUUGGCGUGCAGGAACAGGAACAAGGCAGAAGCUGUCCAUGCUACUCUGCUGGCCUCUCACCCCACUGCUGAGGUCACCAUUGUCCAAGUGGAUGUCAGCAACCUGCAGUCAGUGUUCCGGGCCUCCAAGGAACUUAAGCAAAGGUUUCAGAGAUUAGACUGUAUAUAUCUAAAUGCUGGGAUCAUGCCUAAUCCACAGCUAAAUAUCAAAGCACUUUUCUUUGGCCUCUUUUCAAGAAAAGUGAUUCAUAUGUUCUCCACAGCUGAAGGCCUGCUGACCCAGGGUGAUAAGAUCACUGCUGAUGGACUUCAGGAGGUGUUUGAGACCAAUGUCUUUGGCCAUUUUAUACUGAUUCGGGAACUGGAGCCUCUCCUUUGUCACAGUGACAGUCCAUCUCAGCUCAUCUGGACAUCGUCUCGCAAUGCAAGGAAAUCUAAUUUCAGCCUCGAGGACUUCCAGCACAGCAAAGGCAAGGAGCCCUACAGUUCUUCCAAAUAUGCCACUGACCUUCUGAGUGUGGCUUUGAACAGGAACUUCAACCAGCAGGGUCUAUAUUCCAAUGUGGUGUGUCCAGGUACAGCAUUGACCAAUUUGACAUAUGGAAUUCUGCCUCCCUUUAUAUGGACACUGUUGAUGCCGGCAAUAUUGCUACUUCGCUUUUUUGCAAAUGCAUUCACUUUGACACCAUACAAUGGAACAGAAGCGCUGGUAUGGCUUUUCCACCAAAAGCCCGAAUCUCUCAAUCCUCUGAUCAAAUAUCUGAGUGCCACCACUGGCUUUGGAAGAAAUUACAUUAUGACCCAGAAGAAAGGUGAUUCGUGUAUUCUCCAUAGCUGAAGAACCACUGACCCGAGAUGACAAAAUUACUGCUGAUGAGCUCCAGGAGGUGUUUGAAACCAACGUGUUUGACCACUUUAUCCUGUAUAGAGGUUGUAUGUCCAAGUUCCAAAGCCAAACUGCCUGCAUUCACAUUUCAGCUCCAUCACUCAUUAGCUGAAGGACUUCGAACAAGUUACUGAUCUUUCUGGAUUAAGUUCAAGUUUCCUCAUUUGUAAAAUAAAAGGUAAUAGUCAUUACCUCAUAAAAGUAUUGAAUAUUAAAUGGAUGAAUAUAUAUAUAUAUAUACACGCACAUACAAUUGCAUAUGCAUAUAUUAAGUUUCUCAUAGAAUGCUUUUAAUUAAACAAUUUAAAUUUCCUUACUUGGAUGAAUGGAAUAAAAACAGAAGCAGAGUGGGGCUACAAGUUUUUAUUUUUGCUCCUUCAUGGCGUGGCUUCUCUUUAUGAAUAGGUGGAUGUAUGAGUAGAGAUUUGGAAUCUUAUAGCACUUUGGAAAGCAAACCUUGCUAUAAAGUUAAUGUGAAUGUCUUUAUAAGCUGAGACAUCUUCAAUUUUCUAAGAUGGCUCUUCCUCAGUUUCUAAUAUUCAAUGUGUUAUUUAUGGUAAAGCAAAUUGAUAUAACCCCCAAAUCUCAAUGGAUUUAAUGCAAUACUUUGUUCUUACUCACAUAAAGGCAAUUUAGUGGUUAGAGGGGUAGUGUUAGAGACGUGUGAAUGAGAACAACUCCAUCUUGAAUAGGAGCUGGGUAAAAUGAGGCUGAGACCUACUGGGCUGCAUUCCCAGAUGGUUAAGGCAUUCUAAGUCACAGAAUGAGAUUGGAGGAUGGCACAAGAUACAGGUCACAAAGACCUUGCUGAUAAAACAGGAUGCAGUAAAGAAGCCCGCCAAAUCCCACAAAACCAA